CCCCUUUAAGGCUUCACACUGUGAUUUGAGUAAGAGUCAUGGGACUCCCAGGUUUUGGGAAUCACAGCCAUCAAUCUGAAAGUGCAGCCCGAGGAAGAUUAGGGGGAUCCCACAUCAUGAACUGAAACACUGGGGAAAUAUAUGGUCAUGCACAGUCGGAGAGGAGGAGCUAAAGUGAGAAAAUCUGCAGGAGAACACGAUACAACCUCACUCACUCCAACUGCUCAUUUCCAGCCAGGCAGAGCUGCUGAGACAUUCCAGAACCAGAUCGGAAGGUGAGCAACAGGGCUAUGAAACAGAGUCACGGACAGAUCCUGCUGGGAGCAGCCGCUCGCACUGCUGUACCUGGGGAUUACAUCUGCUCAGGAGGGCUCCCAGCCCGUCGGAUGGAGCGUAAAGGCAGAGGAGGAGAAAAUCCUCUUGAAAUUGAAUGUGAUGACAGAAAUAAAAAUCGAGCCUGAGUUGCAUUUCCCUGUUUACCUGCCCUCAGGCCCUUUAAAUUGGGAUGGGAAAGGGAAAAAUUGUGUUUCUGCUGGGGUAGCUGUUUGCCAGCUGGUUCCUAUGGGCUUAUAUUCCCUCUAAGUGGUUUGUGGAGCGAAGGCCAAAGCCUGGAGACGGCUCCAAGUGGCUGUGUUGGGGCAGACACCCAGGUAACUCAAAUUGGAUCCUGCCUCUUGGAACAAGUUCUGACAUCACUUACUCCGGUGCAGCCGGGGUUAUUCAUUUGGGCUAAGCAAAUUAAAAGGUUCUGCUUAGCCUCUCCCUUGCUUUGCUUUUAUACUGUCAGUGUAAUUGAAGCUACUCCUGGUUUAUAACCCCACGCCGGGGAAUAUCGCAUCCAGACAGCGUGUGGUGACGCAUCGGAAUAAUGGCGAAUAUUGAAUUCGGCGGUUAUACUAAUGUGCACCUGCUGAGGAGCUGGUCCAGCGGGAUGUGCACGGGCGGCUGGCGAGCCGUCAAGGCCUCGAGACGGCACGGGCUUCAUCCUCACAACGCGCUCAGUACGCCCCAUGCGGUUCGGCGCUCUGCCCCGUGCCGGCCACGGUCUCGUCUCCGCACGACGCCGCUCCGAUUCGCGGCUCCCCGCAUCCAGCCCUUGUGCUCCUCGGCCGAGCCAGCUGCAGCGAGCCGCGAGGAAAGGGUGGGGUGGCUGCGUACGUGUGUGCCAAAGUGUCGGCAAUCCCUUGCCGGGGAGGAGCAGACGUGCGGGGACGACG